AUUGAACGCUGGCGGCGGGCCUAACACAUGCAAGUCGAGCGAGCGGCGGACGGGUGAGUAAUGUAUGGGGAUCUGCCUGAUGGAGGGGGAUAACUAGGGGAAACGGUAGCAACUACAGCAUACCAUCAGAUGACCCCAUAUGGGAUGAGCUUGUAGGUGAGGCAACGGCUCACCUAGGCGACGAGCCCUAGCUGGUCUGAGAGGAUGAUCAGCCACACUGGGACUGAGACACGGCCCAGACUCCUACGGGAGGCAGCAGUGGGGAAUAUUGCACAAUGGGCGCAAGCCUGAUGCAGCCAUGCCGCGUGUAUGAAGAAGGCCUUCGGGUUGUAAAGUACUUUCAGUCGGGAGGCGUUACCGACAGAAGAAGCACCGGCUAACUCCGUGCCAGCAGCCGCGGUAAUUC
rnacentral:rRNA from 1 species